rnacentral:rRNA from 1 species
GACGAACGCUGGCGGCGUGCUUAACACAUGCAAGUCGAACGAAGUGGCGAACGGGUGAGUAACGCGUAAUCAACCUGCCCUUCAGAGGGGGACAACCGUAGGAAACGACUGUUAAUACCGCAUACAGAAGGAGGGGAUUGCGGCUACUUCGCUAGUUGGCGGGGUAACGGCCCACCAAGGCGAUGAUCAGUAGCCGGUCUGAGAGGAUGAACGGCCACAUUGGGACUGAGACACGGCCCAGACUCCUACGGGAGGCAGCAGUGGGGAAUCUGCCGCAAUGGACGAAAGUCUGACGGAGCAACGCCGCGUGAGUGAUGACGGCCUUCGGGUUGUAAAGCUCUGUUAAUCGGGACGCGGUACCGGAAUAGAAAGCCACGGCUAACUACGUGCCAGCAGCCGCGGUAAUUC